rnacentral:rRNA from 1 species
CUGGAGGUAUCAGAAGUGCGAAUGCUGACAUAAGUAACGAUAAAGCGGGUGAAAAGCCCGCUCGCCGGAAGACCAAGGGUUCCUGUCCAACGUUAAUCGGGGCAGGGUGAGUCGACCCCUAAGGCGAGGCCGAAAGGCGUAGUCGAUGGGAAACAGGUUAAUAUUCCUGUACUUGGUGUUACUGCGAAGGGGGGACGGAGAAGGCUAUGUUGGCCGGGCGACGGUUGUCCCGGUUUAAGCGUGUAGGCUGGUUUUCCAGGCAAAUCCGGAAAAUCAAGGCUGAGGCGUGAUGACGAGGCACUACGGUGCUGAAGCAACAAAUGCCCUGCUUCCAGGAAAAGCCUCUAAGCAUCAGGUAACAUCAAAUCGUACCCCAAACCGACACAGGUGGUCAGGUAGAGAAUACCAAGGCGCUUGAGAGAACUCGGGUGAAGGAACUAGGCAAAAUGGUGCCGUAACUUCGGGAGAAGGCACGCUGAUAUGUAGGUGAAGUCCCUCGCGGAUGGAGCUGAAAUCAGUCGAAGAUACCAGCUGGCUGCAACUGUUUAUUAAAAACACAGCACUGUGCAAACACGAAAGUGGACGUAUACGGUGUGACGCCUGCCCGGUGCCGGAAGGUUAAUUGAUGGGGUUAGCGCAAGCGAAGCUCUUGAUCGAAGCCCCGGUAAACGGCGGCCGUAACUAUAACGGUCCUAAGGUAGCGAAAUUCCUUGUCGGGUAAGUUCCGACCUGCACGAAUGGCGUAAUGAUGGCCAGGCUGUCUCCACCCGAGACUCAGUGAAAUUGAACUCGCUGUGAAGAUGCAGUGUACCCGCGGCAAGACGGAAAGACCCCGUGAACCUUUACUAUAGCUUGACACUGAACAUUGAGCCUUGAUGUGUAGGAUAGGUGGGAGGCUUUGAAGUGUGGACGCCAGUCUGCAUGGAGCCGACCUUGAAAUACCACCCUUUAAUGUUUGAUGUUCUAACGUUGACCCGUAAUCCGGGUUGCGGACAGUGUCUGGUGGGUAGUUUGACUGGGGCGGUCUCCUCCUAAAGAGUAACGGAGGAGCACGAAGGUUGGCUAAUCCUGGUCGGACAUCAGGAGGUUAGUGCAAUGGCAUAAGCCAGCUUGACUGCGAGCGUGACGGCGCGAGCAGGUGCGAAAGCAGGUCAUAGUGAUCCGGUGGUUCUGAAUGGAAGGGCCAUCGCUCAACGGAUAAAAGGUACUCCGGGGAUAACAGGCUGAUACCGCCCAAGAGUUCAUAUCGACGGCGGUGUUUGGCACCUCGAUGUCGGCUCAUCACAUCCUGGGGCUGAAGUAGGUCCCAAGGGUAUGGCUGUUCGCCAUUUAAAGUGGUACGCGAGCUGGGUUUAGAACGUCGUGAGACAGUUCGGUCCCUAUCUGCCGUGGGCGCUGGAGAACUGAGGGGGGCUGCUCCUAGUACGAGAGGACCGGAGUGGACGCAUCACUGGUGUUCGGGUUGUCAUGCCAAUGGCACUGCCCGGUAGCUAAAUGCGGAAGAGAUAAGUGCUGAAAGCAUCUAAGCACGAAACUUGCCCCGAGAUGAGUUCUCCCUGACCCUUUAAGGGUCCUGAAGGAACGUUGAAGACGACGACGUUGAUAGGCCGGGUGUGUAAGCGCAGCGAUGCGUUGAGCUAACCGGUACUAAUGAACCGUGAGGCUUAACCUU